rnacentral:rRNA from 1 species
CCUACGGGAGGCAGCAGUGGGGAAUAUUGCGCAAUGGGCGAAAGCCUGACGCAGCGACGCCGCGUGAGGGAUGAAGGUCUUCGGAUCGUAAACCUCUGUCAGCAGGGAAGAACGGUCACUGUGCUAAUCAGCAGUGAAUUGACGAUACCUGCAAAGGAAGCACCGGCUAACUCCGUGCCAGCCGCCGCGGUAAUACGGAGGGUGCGAGCGUUAAUCGGAAUUACUGGGCGUAAAGCGCUCGUAGGCGGUAUGUCAAGUCAAGGGUGAAAUCCCCGCGCUCAACGUGGGAACUGCCUUUGAAACUGGCAAACUGGAGUGUGUGAGAGGAUAGUGGAAUUCCAGGUGUAGGAGUGAAAUCCGUAGAUAUCUGUAGGAACAUCAGUGGCGAAGGCGACUAUCUGGCACAUAACUGACGCUGAGGAGCGAAAGCGUGGGUAGCAAACAGGAUUAGAUACCCUUGUAGUC